AGAGCGAACGCUGGCGGCAUGCUUAACACAUGCAAGUCUCACGGGCAGCAAUGUCAGUGGCGGACGGGUGAGUAACGCGUAGGUAUCUAUCCAUGGGUGGGGGAUAACGUCGGGAAACUGACGCUAAUACCGCAUGACAUCUGAGGAUCAAAGGCGCGAGUCGCCUGUGGAGGAGCCUGCGUACGAUUAGCUAGUUGGUGGGGUAAAGGCCUACCAAGGCGACGAUCGUUAGCUGGUCUGAGAGGAUGAUCAGCCACACUGGGACUGAGACACGGCCCAGACUCCUACGGAGGCAGCAGUGGGGAAUAUUGGACAAUGGGCGAAAGCCUGAUCCAGCAAUGCCGCGUGUGUGAAGAAGGUCUUCGGAUUGUAAAGCACUUUCGGCGGGGACGAUGAUGACGGUACCCGCGAGAAGAGCCCCGGCUAACUUCGUGCCAGCAGCCGCGGUAA
rnacentral:rRNA from 1 species